rnacentral:tRNA from 1 species
GCCCCGUUCGUCUAGAGGCCUAGGACACCGCCCUUUCACGGCGGCGACAGGGGUUCGAAUCCCCUACGGGGUACCU